UGAAUGUGGCAGCUGAAAUGGAGACUCAUCAGACCAGGCAACGUUUUUCCAAUCUUCUGUUGUCACAUGUUGGUGAGCCUGUGAGCUGACAGGAGUGACACCCGGUGUUGUCUCUGCUGCUGUAGCCUGUUUAUUGAAACGCACAUAUUGUUGUGCUCAUCUAGACAUAUAUCCUGCGUUAUUAAUAGCGAUGUUUUCCGUGUUGCGAACAAGCUGUUGCAUAGCAUCGAGCCAAGGGUGCCUGAAAGCAGUAUUUAGUACCUGAGAAGGGCCACGAUGUAGUUGUUAGUGAAGGACAGCAAAGCAGACAACGCAUUAAGCUGCAGAUCAUUAUGGUCCAGUCAUAAGAUGUACUUAUUAUAAUUGUCUAUAGACUGAACUGUGAUACGACAACCAGUGAUAUCCAACCAGCCCAGGUGGCAACCCAACCGAUGAUGGAGCGUAAGGGUAUCCGAUGUAGCAUUGUUGGUUGCUCCUCUCUCCGGCUCAAAGGGCGAUUGAAAGAGAGAAGGAGAUCUACAGCCGAGCAAGCUAGAGAGUGAAUAGGGUUAGUGAGAACAAAGCAGUGGAUCCGAAGAACAAAACGUUAUUUGUGAGUGGCUCACAGCGGUUCCGCUCUUUAAGCACAGCAGAGGAGAGCAACAAAUGACACGGAGCAUGAGCACAUAAAAACACACAGCGAAGGAACAACACACUCUCUGCCCAUUUGUAUCAUACAGAUGCUAAACCGUGCCUUGUGCCUCGGUAUCAGAAUCCAAGAGGCGUGACAAAUCACCGAUGUUUGUCCUGGCGAUGAGAACAGGUAGCACGCCGCGCUUAUUAGCUGAGGGUUGCACCCCCACGUGGGGAUCAAAGGCUCUUUGCUGAUGCCCAGAAACGUUCCCGAACACAGAGAACCCCAGGCAGAGUGUCUGUAGAUGCAGACACCAACACACACUUCUAGUGAGUCCUAAGGGAUGACUGAGAGGAACUACUUUUGCAUCAAUGGGCUUUUUGCUUUUUAGGAAGUUCCUGCUUCUCUUACCCUUUAACCCCUUUGUGCCUUGUGUUCUGGAUGUUAAUGUUAACACUAGGGGUACACUGAUACUGAUAUCGGGUCGAUACUGACUCAAAUAGCUGGGUCGGAUAUAGGUGACAAUGGGCUCAAUCUAUUCAAUUCUGUGUUUAUAGACCAUAUACAUUAUACACUAGAAUAUCAUUUCCUGUGUCAUUUUUGACCAAUUUGUUGCUGCAUUUAAAAGGUGCACACUUGAUUUUGUAAUUCCUCUUUAUUCUGAAGAUGAAUUUACUUGGUUGGCUUUUUUACGAUUUGUUAAUUCAAUAACAAAUAACAAUUCAAUACAUUUAUAUUUAUGCAUCUAUCAUGUUUUGUUUUGCAAAGUUAGGAAUGUAAUGUUGAAGUCACGCCUGAUGUUGCCUUCACAAAAUGAAUAGUCGGUCUCUUCCACACAGGGAGGCAUUACACACUGGUAUGUAUCCCAUCAGUACACAAAGCUCAGCUAUCGUAUCAGGAUUGAACAAAUUGGAUUUGUGCAUCCCUAGUUUACACUCCAAAGGAUUCCUCUAAUACCCGUUUGUUGCAAUGUGUCAUUGUUCUCCGGGGCCACACAUCCAUCCCUACUGUGUAUAUGGUCUAAAAAUCUUCUGCUCUCACUGGUUAACGUCUUCAGCUGCAACACUCUGACCACCAGUCAGUCACCAUUAGUUGUUACCAUGGUUCCAGUCAUAUAAAUAGAAAACCCCAGCACUGAACAAGAAGUAGUCCAACACAUACAGCAAGUGAUUCAUUUCCACAACAUAUUUUCUCUAAAAAGGGUCUUGAAGCACCGUGUCAAGUAGGCUCAACCCGAACAUGGUUUGUAAAUAUUUGUGUGAACCCGGUCUGGUAUCCACACUGUAGUACACAUCCAAGGACUUUCACUCAGGCUGCUUAAUACGACCACCACCACCUUUCGGGUGUUGUGAGUCAAACUGUAAAAGCUGGCACCUGUAUUGACCGAUAUGGACAAUAGGGACUGUGUUGCAUGAACUGUAUGUUGAGGAACUCUAGUCUCACUGGCACCGUCACCAUAACGGAUCACAUGUAGCCGCGGUUUGUCAUGCAACAUUUUCACAAAUGAGAAUACAAAGUGCGGUCUGGAGUCCAGUGUUUUCCAUAUGAAACAUUUCAUCUGAAAUCACCCUUUAGUAUAAUGUUCAAAAGGAGCUUCUGACUGUAAUCCUGCAGAACACCUUCCGACUGUGCUCUCACUGCGUGUGAUCCUGCUGAGUUAUUGAUGAUGUGGCCAAAUGUCAGCUGAUGAUCAAAGGCUGAUGAGUGUUCUCUGAGGAAGCCGGAAAGAAAGAGUUGGUGACUUGAAGGAAGCUGAUCCACUAAGACGCAGAGACACAACAUCCAUCAGUCGUUAAAGGACGACCUCUAAUGUGAUGCAGAGAUCCAGCCUCAUCAUGUCCUUCUUGAGUGGCUGAGGAACGCUGAGUGAGAUGUCCCUGAGACAAAGCAAACAUUGUCAGCCCGGAGGAAUUUUGAAGGAAAGCUCUCGGUGCAACGAAACAAGCGCGGUCUGUGAUGAAGGCACCAAUUUUGGCACCAGCGUCAUGUCUGACUCACUUGUGCCAAUGACUGAAUAGGUAAUGAAAUGUAUCCUUCUCGAGAGGGCUGGGCGGUAGACAAAUCUGGGUUGGUUAUCACUGCAGGGGCUGUUGGGGGACCAAGGAAAAGGAAAGAGUCUGUACUUUCUUCUCUCUAAUCUCUUUCCACAAGGAGCACCUGCCAGCAGCCAACUUCUAUCCCCAGGACUCUACACACUCUCCUUUUUGAUUCCUGCACUUCUGUCUGUCAUUCUGCUGUUCAAAUAAGUCUGAUCCCGCUCUGAUAAUAUUAGAAGUCUUUUGACAGGCUUUACACAUUUUCAAUAGAAAGGCCUCUCUCCACCGUUGUGUUUUGGGGUUAACACUGAACUUGAGAAGUGUCUUGAACCAUUUAGAAUGAUAUUGAUCAAAUAAUGACUUCAGUUGUGUCCACCUCAAUCUCAAAAACUUCACUUCUGAUAUUCAGUGGAUAGAAAAUGGAUACACCCACCUCCAAUGUUUUCACAUUUGGUCUGCAAAUUUCAUAUUGAAGUGGUUGUUUUGCCCUGGUCCCAAAACAUACAACAUACUAGAUCAAUGCAGCACAACCUUUUUGAUUAGCAUUUGACAUCAACCACAGCUACCUGUCUUUGUAGUAGCUCUGCACAAAGAAGGCACACCUGGAUUUGGACAUCUUGACCCACUACUCUUUGCAGAACAGUUUGAGCUGAUUGACAGCAACCGGCAAGUUAUUCCACUGGUUUUCUAUUAGUUUUAGUUCAAGGCCUCUUGGCCAUCCACCUUGUUUUAGCUGGACAGUCCAAAUUCACUUUGGGUCAUUGACCUGUUGGAAUAUGAGAUUCUGACCCAUUUUCAGUCUUCAUGUUCUUCUACAGAACCUCCCUGUAUUUGACUCUUCCAUCCUUCCCCAGUCCCCUCUGAUGAGAAUCAUGUCCACAACAUUAAGCUGCCACCACCAUGCUUCAGUCAAGAUGUUAUUUGGCGAUGGUUGCUGUUUUUUUUGCCAAAUGUAAUGUUUGGUGUUUAUGCCAAAAACUUCUAUAUUUGUUUCAUCAGACCACAAAACUUUCUGCCAGUUUGUUGAGGGAUGCUUCCAGAUGGAGCCUCUCAUAUAGGCCACAGGUUUGCAUUAUCUUUGACAUUGUUCUUGUGUGUUGCACCCUGUUGGCCUUCUCUCCUGAUUAUGUAGUGUAGAUGGACACCCUGAUGUUGGUCCACUGUGGGUGGUGCCAUUCACUUUCCAUUUUGUAAUGAUGAUCUUAACGGUGCUUCCAGGUAUCUUUGCAUCCUUUGGAAUCUUUUGGUAUCCCUCACUUGAUGUGUUCCUUUCUACAACUUAGUCAUGGAAUUGUUGUGGGAGAUCUUUUGAGCCAUGUUAUUGUCGCUGCACUUCUAAACAGAGGAACCAUGGUGAACAGCUGUUUGUAGUCAUGAUUUCAUCAAGUUAAUUGUUGUGAUUCCACACAGGUGUUGGAUAUUGAGUUAUUGUAUGAUCCUGAAGGCAUUUGUGAUUGUUAGAAUUUGUUUUAAUUAUUCACGUUAAAAUGACAAAAUAUUGUGUGAUUGUUUGGAAAAAUACAUAGAUUUAUUGCCUUUUGAAUUCCAGGCUAUAGAUGGCUAUCUGAAGAUUGUUCAAAGGCUGUGUUCAUUUUCUAUCAACUGUAAAUGGCCAUAUUGGCUGAAUCCUGCUGUCGUUGUUGAUUCCAUCUUCUUCCUUCAAGCUGCAUUCUUGAUUUACUAUGGAAAUGAGUUUUGAAUGAAUGCAGUGAAAAAUAUCAGCAAGCUUCAACAGUCCGAACAAAGUCAGAUACGUAUGUCAUGUGACUGCUCUCUUAAGUGGAAAAAAACACCCUUUAAGCACCUUUUGACUGUGAUCAAAGGUGAAAAUGAUUAAUAUUGGUAUUGAGUAGAAGCCUUCAUCAUGACAUCUUCCUGAAUAGACUCAUUUGAGUUACUGUAAUUACAUGUAUGCUGAGGUCUGCCUUAAAUGUGUUCCUCUCCUAACUAACUCUUAACGGUGAGUUGGGUUUGGCUGCGUCCUGAUUCUGUAGAAGGAAUCAUCUUGUCUCUUGUGUCACCUCAGGCACCAUCUGUUAUGGCCUUCCCUGCAACCACACCGACAGGCAUGAUGGCAUAUGCAAUGCCUCCCAACGUAGGCUCCAUGACGAUGACGACACAGCCCACUAUGAUGUACACCCAGCCAGUGAUGAGGCCAGCCAACCCCUUUGGCCCCAGUCCAGGUGCACAGAUGCACUUUAUGUAACCUGAAGGCCGGAGGGGUCUUCCUCGUCUGAAGAUGAUUCAUGACGAAGACAACUAUCCAAGCAAACCUGCAGUUUGCGUCUACUGAACUCUCCUGUCUCUGGGACUAAAAGGCCCAAAUAAGACUUGUUGAAUAAAACCACGGUGACUAGGAGCGGCUCUGACCAUCUCAGACGGGCAUCGCAGUGGACAUUGUGCCCAUCAUGUGGAAGUCAUAGAAGGAGAGGGAAAGUGUGCUGCCAUUCAGACCCAUGUGGACAGGGAUCAACCCCUACUUCAUCCUGGACUAAGAGAAACGCCACACCCAUGAGGAGAGCUCCGUGACAUCACGGUUUAUGUACCUGCAAAAAAAAGCAAGGCUGGGUUGUUGUCACACAUUGUUUCAGUUCUUUUGAUUAUCAUAAUACCUUCUUAAAGUAUCCCCAAAUUAGGAAAGCAAUUGCAAACUCUUUAUACCACUCUUUUAUGUAUUGUUUGCAGUAGACAUUCCUUGUGUAUUAUUUGUAUUUAUUUAUGAUUACCUAUAGAUAAGAUGACAAAAUAUGUAACUGUAACUAGUCACUGAUCUCCUUGUGGACGGUCUUCAGGUUUAUACAUAGGUAUGAUUGAUUGUAGAAUUGGAUUUUGAGUGAUUGAAAGGAUUUUUUUUUUUUUUUUCAAAAAGAAGUUAAUAUAAAGACGAUAAAGAGAUGACAUGUUUUGCUGUUGGGGCACUAAAUAUUAUCUGUACUCGCAUGAUGCCUUGUACAGUUAUCUGUGACUCCAGGGGUCAUGGAGGAUGUUAAUGUUCAUAAACUUAACACGAUCAAAUUGGUGAGGAGGAUUUCUACAAAUUUGGCGAGGGAACGUUUUUCACAUCAGCAACGGCACUAAAUGUUGUGAUGGAGGCAGCAUUGCAUUGGAAAGGAAUCUGCAUUCAUGCUUUUGACGCUUUUGGCAUGGCAUUUAUUGUGACAUUUAACAAACCUCCUGGCUGCCCUGUUCCAACCUGAAUGUGCAGGGUCCCUUUCAUGCUCAGAUCAUGUUUCCAUAGGCGAGCACUGGAGCAUUCAGGACAAUGUGGGGCCAUGGGGAGUCCCACUGGUAACCAGAGGGGAGUUCUAGUUGUUCAGAAUAGAGCACUGUUGAUCGGUGCUUUGUGUAUAUAAAACUUUCCCUGCCAAUCACAGAAACAGGUGAGUGCAGGUAUGAACGCAGGUUUGAAGAUUAAAAUGGCCCUGAAUCCAUUCACUGAGCAUACUUCCUGCAUUGUCCCUGCAGAUUAUAUUUUUGUUUUGAUUUUUUCCAAUAAAGUGCAAGCUUCUACA